GAGCUCAGUGGGAAAGCCCUGGCUUUGCAUGCAAAUAGUCCCAGGUUCAAUCCCUGGCAUCUUCA
rnacentral:tRNA from 1 species